rnacentral:rRNA from 1 species
AGUAACAUCCGGAAACGGGUGCUAAUACCGCAUAGUUUCUUGAUUGCAUGAUUGAGAAAGGAAAGACGGCCUUUGUGCUGUCGCUUAUGGAUGGACCCGCGGCGUAUUAGUUAGUUGGUGAGGUAACGGCUCACCAAGACGAUGAUACGUAGCCGACCUGAGAGGGUGAUCGGCCACAUUGGGACUGAGACACGGCCCAAACUCCUACGGGAGGCAGCAGUAGGGAAUCUUCCGCAAUGGACGAAAGUCUGACGGAGCAACGCCGCGUGAGUGAAAGAAGGUUUUCGGAUCGUAAAACUCUGUUGUCAGAGAAGAACAAGUUGGAGAGUAACUGCUCCAGCCUUGACGGUAUCUGACCAGAAAGCCACGGCUAACUACGUGCCAGCCGCCGC